CCUACGGGAGGCAGCAGUGAGGAAUAUUGGUCAAUGGACGAGAGUCUGAACCAGCCAAGUAGCGUGAAGGAUGACUGCCCUAUGGGUUGUAAACUUCUUUUAUAAAGGAAUAAAACGAGGCACGUGUGCCUGUUUGCAUGUACUUUAUGAAUAAGGAUCGGCUAACUCCGUGCCAGCAGCCGCGGUAAUACGGAGGAUCCGAGCGUUAUCCGGAUUUAUUGGGUUUAAAGGGAGCGUAGAUGGGUUGUUAAGUCAGUUGUGAAAGUUUGCGGCUCAACCGUAAAAUUGCAAUUGAUACUGGCAGUCUUGAGUACAGGUGAGGUAGGCGGAAUUCGUGGUGUAGCGGUGAAAUGCUUAGAUAUCACGAAGAACCCCGAUUGCGAAGGCAGCUUACUAAACUGUGACUGACAUUGAUGCUCGAAAGUGUGGGUAUCAAACAGGAUUAGAUACCCGGGUAGUC
rnacentral:rRNA from 1 species